rnacentral:rRNA from 1 species
AACGAACGCUGGCGGCAUGCCUAACACAUGCAAGUCGAACGAGAUCUUCGGGUCUAGUGGCGCACGGUUGCGUAACGCGUGGGAAACUGCCCUUUGGUUCGGAAUAACAGUUGGAAACGACUGCUAAUACCGGAUGAUGACGAAAGUCCAAAGAUUUAUCGCCAGAGGAUGAGCCCGCGUAGGAUUAGCUAGUUGGUGUGGUAAAGGCGCACCAAGGCGACGAUCCUUAGCUGGUCUGAGAGGAUGAUCAGCCACACUGGGACUGAGACACGGCCCAGACUCCUACGGGAGGCAGCAGUGGGGAAUAUUGGACAAUGGGCGAAAGCCUGAUCCAGCAAUGCCGCGUGAGUGAUGAAGGCCUUAGGGUUGUAAAGCUCUUUUACCCGGGAUGAUAAUGACAGUACCGGGAGAAUAAGCUCCGGCUAACUCCGUGCCAGCAGCCGCGGUAA